rfam:Brachypodium distachyon strain Bd21 chromosome 3, whole genome shotgun sequence.
AUUAUACUCCCUCCGUCCCAUAAUAAGUGACUCAAAUUUGUCCAAAUAUGAAUGUAUCUAUGUCUAAAAAGAGUCUAGAUACAUGUAAUAGAAAGUCACUUAAUAUGGGACGGAGGGAGUAGAUA